rnacentral:rRNA from 1 species
AUUGAACGCUAGCGGGAUGCUUUACACAUGCAAGUCGAACGAGCGGCGGACGGGUGAGUAAUGUAUGGGGACUGCCCGAUAGAGGGGGAUAACUACUGGAAACGGUAGCUAAUACCGCAUACUAUCGGAUAACCCAUAUGGGAUUAGCUAGUAGGUGAGGUAAUGGCUCACCUAGGCGACGAUCCCUAGCUGGUCUGAGAGGAUGAUCAGCCACACGGGGACGGAGACACGGCCCAGACUCCCGGGGAGUCAGCAGUGGGGAAUUUUGCACAAUGGGCGAAAGCCAGUGGCAGCCAUGCCGCGUGUAUGAAGAGGGCCCUAGGGUUGUAAAUUACUUUCAGUCGGAAGGCGUUACCGACAGAAGAAGCACCGGCUAAUUCCGUGCCAGCCGCCGCGGUAAUA